UACAGAGGUCUCAAGCGUUGUUCGGAUUCAUUGGGCGUAAAGGGUGUGUAGGUGGCGCGCUAAGUCGGGUGUGAAAUUUCGGAGCUUAACUCCGAAACUGCAUUCGAUACUGGCGUGCUUGAGGACUGGAGAGGAGACUGGAAUUCAUGGUGUAGCAGUGAAAUGCGUAGAUAUCAUGAGGAAGACCAGUGGCGAAGGCGGAUCUCUGGACAGUUCCUGACACUGAGGCACGAAGGCCAGGGGAGCAAACGGG
rnacentral:rRNA from 1 species